rnacentral:rRNA from 1 species
AAUAGAUACCCGGGUAGUCCACGCCGUAAACGAUGUCGACUUGGAGGUUGUGCCCUUGAGGCGUGGCUUCCGGAGCUAACGCGUUAAGUCGACCGCCUGGGGAGUACGGCCGCAAGGUUAAAACUCAAAUGAAUUGACGGGGGCCCGGCACAAGCGGUGGAGCAUGUGGUUUAAUUCGAUGCAACGCGAAGAACCUUACCUACUCUUGACAUCCAGAGAACUUAGCAGAGAUGCUUUGGUGCCUUCGGGAACUCUGAGACAGGUGCUGCAUGGCUGUCGUCAGCUCGUGUUGUGAAAUGUUGGGUUAAGUCCCGCAACGAGCGCAACCCUUAUCCUUUGUUGCCAGCGGUCCGGCCGGGAACUCAAAGGAGCUGCCAGUGAUAAACUGGAGGAAGGUGGGGAUGACGUCAAGUCAUCAUGGCCCUUACGAGUAGGGCUACACACGUGCUACAAUGGCAUAUACAAAGAGAAGCGACCUCGCGAGAGCAAGCGGACCUNAUAAAGUAUGUCGUAGUCCGGA